CCGAAGCGAUGAAACAGAAGAGAGGCCAGCAGAGUGUCAGCUCCACCAUGAGCGUUCGUCUAACUUUGUUCUGCUGCUUCUUCCUCUUGACGGCUCCCAGGAGGCUUUUGAGCUCUACUACAGUGAGACGUACAGUGAGAGCUCGUCCAUCUCGCUGCAGGACUCCCAUCGCAGCCUGGCAUCAGCCAGUGACGGAGCAGACAGCGACCCCGCCCUGCUGCUGAUGCAGGAGUACAUGAUCACACUGAGGAACAAGCUGAAUCCUCUGGAGCUGCAGCAGUUUGCAGUCCUGCUGAGAGAAUACAGGCUGGGUUCAAACAUCGACCACUUCUGCUCUGAGCUGCUGCAGCUGUACGGAGAUGAGCGCAAAUUCCUGCUGCUGGAUGAGAGACCGAGACGGAGUUAUUGUUUUCUUUUAUUUGGAUCGGUUGCAGUUCGCUCUGUCUACUCUUCCUGAGGCAUGCGGCCGUUUAUUCCAGACAAAGACGUCGGCGUGUUCGAGGAGUUCCUUGAAAGCAUCGGGAUCCGAGAAGGCGGGAUUUUAACCGACAGCUUUGGACGUAUUAAACGCAGCAUGAGCAACACCUCAGCCACGGCCAUGAGAGGAUACGUGGAAACGGACGUGAAAAGUUUAUUUUCAAUAAUUCACUUCAUGAUUGAUUCAUCACACAAAAAGUGAUCUAUUUUAAGAGCUUAUUUCUGUCUAGUUUGAUGAUUAUAACAAAUGAAAACACAAAUUGUGGUUUCUCUAUAACAAAAAUUAUAAGAUGACAAAACAUUUUUAAUACUGAAACUGACCUAAACAACUUAGAGAAGACUGUUGUGUUGACAGUCAGUCAGAAUUAUAAGCUUCAACAAAACAUUGCUAAAACAGAGCUGUAUUCAAACUUAUUAUAAGAGAAAAUUCAGUGGAAAGAAAAAGUGUGACAUUUGACUUAAAUUCUGCUGGCCUGUUUUUUUUUUUUUUUGUUCAGAUCCUGCAUUUGAUUUGAUUUAGUUCUUCUAUCUAUACAAAAACCUGUCAGCAAGAUAACAGCCAUUCCUCUCUCAGUAGGUACGACAAACGCUCUUUAGCAACAGGGUCUCAAGAAUUUAACCGACGCAUCACUGACAUCACCCACGACAUCCAGGCGCUGGGCUUCCAGGACACGCACGGAGACAUCGAGGAGGAAGACUACUACCUCUGACGAAGGCAGAGAAGAAAAGACUUAGAGAGAGAUUUCCCAUAGUUCUGUGUUUUCAUUCACGGUAAAAAGGAACCAAAGUCAAAUUUUGUUUCUGCACAAACUUGAUGAAUAAAGCUGAUCUUGAUUCUAAGUUACAACAAUUCUGUGUUUAGAUCUGGAGGGAAUAUGUAAAUUAUUUUUAAGUAAAAGUGCUUCAUGAUGAACUAGAAAUCCUUUUGAGACAUGCAAGAGAAACUAAAUGAAUUCAGGAUGAAGUACAGUAAAAACAAGACAAAACACACUAUAGUUUUGGAUAGCAAUGCUAAAUAUUCCAUAAUCUACAUAGCUUUUUAAUUCCCUUCCUCUA